GUACACUUGAGCAGACCCCUAACACCACAAGGGUGUGUGUGUGUGUGUGUGUGUGUGUGUGUGGUUCUCUGUGUGGUGUGAUAUCAUGUGAUUGGGCAAGCUGCUGGGUAGGGGUACAAGGUUUGUCAGGAAGCACUGACCUGAAUAUGAAAUGCUUUAUAAAUAGACUCAACGCUCCUCACACACACACAACCACUCACACACACACACACACACAAACAAACACACACACACACACACACUCCCACUCACACAACCACUCACACACACACACACACACACACACACACACACACACACACACACACACACACACACACACACACACACACACACACACACACACACACACCACACACACACACACACACACACACACACACUCUCCACCCCCCCGUUCCUGCGCUAGGAUCAGUCAGAAUGUAUUUCGGUCUUUUCCUCCUGCAGCGUGGUGUCAUGCGCUUGUGUUUCCUAUCAAAAUAAACCUCCCAGAAUCUCCCAGAAUCUCCCAGACACACUACCUCUCCUGACACACCGGCAAUGACUUCACACUGCACAGCACUACAAGACACAUGGGCCAUGACUUCAUACUGCACAGCACUACACAGCACAGGGAACAGCCUCCUCAGUAGCUUCAGUCCAACACAGAGAUUUCCACCAGCACACUCCACUGUUUCCAGCCAGAGAAGCACAUGAAGUAAAGCCUAUGUAGUUAUUUACCUGACAGGGCUUAAGAUUCUGUCAUAUCCCAGCAGGCCGUUGGUGCGUGGAGAGCAGGGAGAGCUCGUCAGGCAUGUGGGAGAGAGUGUGAGUGCGAGUGGGACAGGGCUCUGUUCCUCCCCGUGCGAGUGAGAAUGGUAGGAGGUACCUGUUUUUUUUUCCCCCACAGUCAGCACCGCAAGAGCUAGAACUGCAGUCAUAUGAUGAGCAGACAAUCGAGCCUGGCCCCUUUUCCCCUCCCCUCAGUCGCUCUCCCCACACACAACACCACACACACACACACACACACACACACACACACACACACACACACACACACACACACACACACACACACACACACCCACCCACACAACUCCUCACCCAUUCUGGACAGCAUUCCACUGAGUACCCCAGCAAUUUUUUCAAAGUCACCCAAACAAACGAGGCUAAUCCUCCGGUGCUGUUUUCAGCCGGGGAGCGGAGCAGGAUCCUCUUCCCUGCCACACACCUCUCUCUCCAGGGACCACUCACCACUGACCACUGCCUCACCCUCCUGCCACACACCGCUCUCCCCAGAGACCACCUUCACCCUCCUGCCACACACAGCUCUCCCCAGAGACCACUGACCACUGCUUCACCCUCCAGCCCCACGUUAGGCAAGCUCUAUUUUGAGUGGAGCCAGACUGAGACGACUAUCCAACAACAACAACCCCCCACCCCCCAAAUAUCAACAAGACAGACGGUAGUUGUUUACUAGUCAGUCAAUGACGGCAGAGGAUUUGCCUCUUGUGUAAAUAAUGCAGGCGUGUAAAUAAUUAAUCUCAUUGACCGGCCCGUCCUGCAUCUGUUGCCAGAUGUGUUCUGGGAGUUGGCUUCAAAACCAAAGACUGAUACACAACCGAUCCGUCUCUUUUCACGGACACACAAACACAUCUCAAGACCUUUAAACAUAACGCAGACAUGCACACAGAGCGACACACACUCACCCAGCUCUAAAGAGAGGAAGCACAGAGAGAGUAACCCGAAACCCUCGGGCUCUCCUCUGGUUGAUGUCUGCACCUCAGCAGUCGCAGCUCUUAAAUUAUGGGGGCUGUUGUUGGGAGAAGCAACUGUUAUGGGACUGUCUUGCCUGCUUUCCCCCCCUUUGACAGAGGAUGAGAACACAGCAGUGCUAUAUCUGCUCCCAGUCCAGGGCAGGGGAGGGGAGGGGGGGGGCUAUUAGGGGGUGAAGAUGAGGUGGAGAGGUGAACGAGGCGGGAGGGGGGGGGGGGGGGGGGGGGGAACUGGAGCUGUCAGUUGCGUCAAUGGCAUGACAUGGGACGGGGUGGGAGAGUGGAGGGUGUUUUGAUGGGGUGGUGGUGGUGGGGCGGGGGUGUUGGCAGUGUGAGGGGGAUGUUUAGGGGGGAAGCUCUCUCGCUGAGUGGCCGAGAGGACGCCCGAGGGUCAGCUGGGACAGACGGGGUCCUAGGUAACACUGUAAACAAACACCCAGACCUGGCAGGAGGGCAGGAGA
ensembl:lncRNA